CCUCGGGCGGCAGCAGUGGGGAAUAUUGGACAAUGGGCGAAAGCCUGAUCCAGCCAUGCCGCGUGUGUGAAGAAGGCCUUCGGGUUGUAAAGCACUUUCAGUGGGGAAGAAAGCCUUGGGGCUAAUACCCUCGAGGAAGGACAUCACCCACAGAAGAAGCACCGGCUAACUCCGUGCCAGCAGCCGCGGUAAUACGGAGGGUGCGAGCGUUAAUCGGAAUUACUGGGCGUAAAGCGCGCGUAGGCGGUCUGAUAAGCCGGUUGUGAAAGCCCCGGGCUCAACCUGGGAACGGCAUCCGGAACUGUCAGGCUAGAGUGCAGGAGAGGAAGGUAGAAUUCCCGGUGUAGCGGUGAAAUGCGUAGAGAUCGGGAGGAAUACCAGUGGCGAAGGCGGCCUUCUGGACUGACACUGACGCUGAGGUGCGAAAGCAUGGGUAGCAAACAGGAUUACAUACCCGAGUAGUC
rnacentral:rRNA from 1 species